GCCUGCUAGCCGCAGUAUUUUGACUGUGCGAAGGUAGCAUAAUCAUUUGUCUUUUAAUUGAAAGCCGGAAUGAAUGGCGAGACGAGAAGAUUUCUGUCUUCGAAUUUCACUUUUUAGUGCAAAGGCUCAAAUUAGUCCAGAGGACGAUCAGACUUUGCGGAGCUUAUUGGUUGGGGCGACAAAACUUGAUCUCUAAAGAAGGAUCAGAAGACUAAGUUACCCCAGGGAUAACAGCGGUUAUCUUUUUGGAGAAUUCUUAUCGAUAACAAGGGUUGCGACCUCGAUGCUGGAUCAAGGGAUCCUCAUGGUUCAGCAGCUUUAUAGGAAAGUCUGUUCGACUGUUAAAUCCUU
rnacentral:rRNA from 1 species